UACGGAGGGUGCAAGCGUUAUCCGGAUUCACUGGGUUUAAAGGGUGCGUAGGUGGGCAGUUAAGUCAGUGGUGAAAUCUCCGGGCUCAACCCGGAAACUGCCAUUGAUACUAUCUGUCUUGAAUAUCGUAGAGGUAAGCGGAAUAUGUCAUGUAGCGGUGAAAUGCUUAGAUAUGACAUAGAACACCAAUUGCGAAGGCAGCUUACUACCCGAAUAUUGACACUGAGGCACGAAAGCGUGGGGAUCAAACAGG
rnacentral:rRNA from 1 species